AUUGAACGCUGGCGGCAGGCCUAACACAUGCAAGUCGAGCGGAUGAAGGGAGCUUGCUCCUGGAUUCAGCGGCGGACGGGUGAGUAAUGCCUAGGAAUCUGCCUGGUAGUGGGGGAUAACGUCCGGAAACGGGCGCUAAUACCGCAUACGUCCUGAGGGAGAAAGUGGGGGAUCUUCGGACCUUACGCUAUCAGAUGAGCCUAGGUCGGAUUAGCUAGUUGGUGGGGUAAAGGCCUACCAAGGCGACGAUCCGUAACUGGUCUGAGAGGAUGAUCAGUCACACUGGAACUGAGACACGGUCCAGACUCCUACGGGAGGCAGCAGUGGGGAAUAUUGGACAAAGGGCGAAAGCCUGAUCCAGCCAUGCCGCGUGUGUGAAGAAGGUCUUCGGAUUGUAAAGCACUUUAAGUUGGGAGGAAGGGCAGUAAGUUAAUACCUUGCUGUUUUGACGGUACCAACAGAAUAAGCACCGGCUAACUUCGUG
rnacentral:rRNA from 1 species